CCUACGGGCGGCUGCAGUGAGGAAUAUUGGUCAAUGGGCGCGAGCCUGAACCAGCGAAGCCGCGUGAAGGAUGACUGCCCUCCGGGUUGUAAACUUCUUUUAUAAAGGAAUAAAGUGAGGCACGUGUGCCUUUUUGUAUGUACUUUAUGAAUAAGGAUCGGCUAACUCCGUGCCAGCAGCCGCGGUAAUACGGAGGAUCCGGGCGUUAUCCGGAUUUAUUGGGUUUAAAGGGAGCGUAGAUGGGUUGUUAAGUCAGUUGUGAAAGUGUGGGGCUCAACCGUAAAAUUGCACUUGGUACUGGCAGUCUUGAGUGCAGUUGAGGUAGGCGGAAUUCGUGGUGUAGCGGUGAAAUGCGUAGAUAUCACGAAGAACUCCGAUUGCGAAGGCAGCUUACUAGACUGCCACUGACAUUGAUGCUCGAAAGUGUGGGUAGCAAACAGGAUUAGAUACCCCAGUAGUC
rnacentral:rRNA from 1 species